AACGAACGCUGGCGGCACGCCUAACACAUGCAAGUCGAACGAAGGCUUCGGCCUUAGUGGCGCACGGGUGAGUAACACGUGGGAACCUGCCUUCUGGUUCGGGAUAACGUUUGGAAACGAACGCUAACACCGGAUAAGCCCUUCGGGGGAAAGUUUACGCCAGGAGAGGGGCCCGCGUCCGAUUAGGUAGUUGGUGAGGUAACGGCUCACCAAGCCGACGAUCGGUAGCUGGUCUGAGAGGAUGAUCAGCCACACUGGGACUGAGACACGGCCCAGACUCCUACGGGAGGCAGCAGUGGGGAAUAUUGGACAAUGGGCGCAAGCCUGAUCCAGCAAUGCCGCGUGAGUGAUGAAGGCCUUAGGGUUGUAAAGCUCUUUCGCACAUGACGAUGAUGACGGUAACGUGAGAAAAAGCCCCGGCUAACUUCGUGCCAGCCGCCGCCGUAA
rnacentral:rRNA from 1 species